rnacentral:rRNA from 1 species
AUUGAACGCUGGCGGCAUGCCUUACACAUGCAAGUCGAACGGCAGCGCGGGAGCAAUCCUGGCGGCGAGUGGCGAACGGGUGAGUAAUGCAUCGGAACGUGCCCUGAAGUGGGGGAUAACGUAGCGAAAGUUACGCUAAUACCGCAUAUUCUGUGAGCAGGAAAGAGGGGGAUCGCAAGACCUCUUGCUUUAGGAGCGGCCGAUGUCGGAUUAGCUAGUUGGUGAGGUAAAGGCUCACCAAGGUGACGAUCCGUAGCGGGUCUGAGAGGAUGAUCCGCCAAACUGGGACUGAGACACGGCCCAGACUCCUACGGGAGGCAGCAGUGGGGAAUUUUGGACAAUGGGCGCAAGCCUGAUCCAGCCAUGCCGCGUGAGUGAAGAAGGCCUUCGGGUUGUAAAGCUCUUUCGGCGGGGAAGAAAUUGCUUCGGCUAAUAUCCGGAGUAGAUGACGGUACCCGCAUAAGAAGCACCGGCUAACUACGUGCCAGCCGCCGCCGUAAAAC